rnacentral:rRNA from 1 species
AGUGAACGCUGGCGGUAGGCCUAACACAUGCAAGUCGAACGGCAGCACAGUAAGAGCUUGCUCUUACGGGUGGCGAGUGGCGGACGGGUGAGGAAUACAUCGGAAUCUACUUUUUCGUGGGGGAUAACGUAGGGAAACUUACGCUAAUACCGCAUACGACCUACGGGUGAAAGCAGGGGAUCUUCGGAUCUUGCGCGAUUGAAUGAGCCGAUGUCGGAUUAGCUAGUUGGCGGGGUAAAGGCCCACCAAGGCGACGAUCCGUAGCUGGUCUGAGAGGAUGAUCAGCCACACUGGAACUGAGACACGGUCCAGACUCCUACGGGAGGCAGCAGUGGGGAAUAUUGGACAAUGGGCGCAAGCCUGAUCCAGCCAUACCGCGUGGGUGUAGAAGGCCUUCGGGUUGUAAAGCCCUUUUGUUGGGAAAGAAAAGCAGCAGGUUAAUACCCCGCUGUUCUGACGGUACCCAAAGAAUAAGCACCGGCUAACUUCGUG